rnacentral:rRNA from 1 species
UACGUAGGUGGCAAGCGUUGUCCGGAAUUACUGGGUGUAAAGGGAGCGUAGGCGGGAUGUCAAGUCAGAAGUGAAAAUUAUGGGCUCAACUCAUAACCUGCUUUUGAAACUGAUAUUCUUGAGUGAAGUAGAGGCAAGCGGAAUUCCUAGUGUAGCGGUGAAAUGCUUAGAUAUUACUCAGAACACCGAUUGCGCAGGCAGCUUGCUAAUCCGCAUCUGACGCUGAUGCACGAAAGCGUGGGGAGCAAAAAGG